rnacentral:sRNA from 1 species
ACUCAACACUAUUCAAUUAUGAAAGGUGAGUCUUAAUUGCAAAAGCAGGCCAUUAAAGCUAAACUUGUUUUAGUUUUUUGAAUGGAUCCUUGACCAAUUUGUUAGCCUUAUAAAUGUCAUAUUGGAGUUU